UACGUAGGUGGCAAGCGUUGUCCGGAUUUACUGGGCGUAAAGGAUGCGUAGGCGGACAUUUAAGUCAGAUGUGAAAUACCCGAGCUUAACUUGGGUGCUGCAUUUGAAACUGGGUGUCUAGAGUGCAGGAGAGGUAAGUGGAAUUCCUAGUGUAGCGGUGAAAUGCGUAGAGAUUAGGAAGAACACCGGUGGCGAAGGCGGCUAUCUGGACCGACAUUGACGCUGAGGCGCGAAAGCGUGGGGAGCAAACAGG
rnacentral:rRNA from 1 species